rnacentral:rRNA from 1 species
GUACACGCUGUGACUAGCAUAUCAAUAAGCGGAGGAAAAGUCAACUACCUACGCUUAGGAUGUUGACGAGACUGUCGAUCUCAUCUAUACAUGACUCUGUGCAUAUCAAUAAGCGGAGGAAAAGAAACUAACAAGGAUUCCCCUAGUAACGGCGAGUGAAGCGGGAAGAGCUCAAAUUUGAAAUCUUAAAGGGUUUCCCUUUACGAAUUGUAGUUUAAAGAAGUGUUUUCUGUUGAGGUUUUGGUAAAAGUUCUUUGGAAUAGGACAUCAUAGAGGGUGAGAAUCCCGUAUUUGACCUUUACUUUCAACUUUGUGAUACACUUUCAAAGAGUCGGAUUGUUUGGGAAUGCAGUCCAAAAUGGGUGGUAAAUUUCAUCUAAAGCUAAAUAUUGGCGAGAGACCGAUAGCGAACAAGUACCGUGAGGGAAAGAUGAAAAGAACUUUGAAAAGAGAGUUAAACAGUACGUGAAAUUGUCAAAAGGGAAGCGUUUGACACCAGUGUUGUUUUUCUGAAAAUCAAUUAAAGAACUGUUUAUGCUAAGUUGUUUAGACUUUAUCAGCUAUCUGUUUAGUUUUGAGCUUUUCUUUAAUGCACUUUUCAGUUAACAAGUCAACAUCAAUUUCUUUUGCUGUAAAAAAGCUUGAGGAAGGUGGCUUGAGAUUCGUCUUAAGUGUUUAUAGCCUCUUGCCUAUGCAGUCGGAGAGAUUGAGGUCUGCAGCGUAGAUCCUUCGGGGCUAAAUGCAUUUGUGCUAAGUUAUAGCAUUUUAUAGGACAACUUGUUGACUAUGAUUUGUCUUGUAGCUUACUCGCUUAUGUUAUUUUACCUACGCUUAGGAUGUUGAAGAUGUAGCACAUCAU